rnacentral:misc_RNA from 1 species
GGAUUUUCGAUCCGACGGUCGGAUAGCCGGAAAAGUGAUCGGAAAGCCACUGCCGUCGCUUUCUCUCUCCUCUUUCUCUCUCUUCGUUUCUUGCCGGAAAACUCCAUUAAAACCGGCGAGUCUUGGUCGGACGAGGAACUUAGUGCUGCCAGAAGCUCGCUGCCGGUGUCUCCUGUCUUUCCGUCGUCGGAGAUGGCCGGAAAUGGCCUUGGAUGGUCCUCUGCCUGUCGCACGGGUUUCUCUCCUUUCCAUAGUUGAGAGGCACUAGUCUGGGUUGUUAGCAUGGCCAGAGAAAUGUUGAAAAUGGCUAUUAAAGCCUUGGGUUCUUCCUAGCGUCGUCAGAAACAAUGGAGGUUUCCACCUGCAUUAAGAUGCCGCUUGGAUCACAAAGGAGGGUGUGACAACCGUCACUAGAACUGUUGGGUUUCACUAGAGAUGUUGGGCUAGAAGAACGCUCGCCGGCCAUGGUGAUAAGCUCGCCGAAAAAUGAAAAGGGGAAAGUCUCUGCUCGGCCAGCAUGCAAAGAAGAGGACCAAUUUUGG